rnacentral:rRNA from 1 species
AUUGAACGCUGGCGGCAGGCCUAACACAUGCAAGUCGAACGGUAACAGGAAGAAGCUUGCUUCUUUGCUGACGAGUGGCGGACGGGUGAGUAAUGUCUGGGAAACUGCCUGAUGGAGGGGGAUAACUACUGGAAACGGUAGCUAAUACCGCAUAACGUCGCAAGACCAAAGAGGGGGACCUUCGGGCCUCUUGCCAUCGGAUGUGCCCAGAUGGGAUUAGCUAGUAGGUGGGGUAACGGCUCACCUAGGCGACGAUCCCUAGCUGGUCUGAGAGGAUGACCAGCCACACUGGAACUGAGACACGGUCCAGACUCCUACGGGAGGCAGCAGUGGGGAAUAUUGCACAAUGGGCGCAAGCCUGAUGCAGCCAUGCCGCGUGUAUGAAGAAGGCCUUCGGUUGUAA